GUUAUAUGGUCAAGUGAAGAAGCGCAUACGGUGGAUGCCUUGGCAGUCAGAGGCGAUGAAAGACGUGGUAGCCUGCGAAAAGCUUCGGGGAGUCGGCAAACAGACUGUGAUCCGGAGAUGUCUGAAUGGGGGAACCCAGCCAUCAUAAGAUGGUUAUCUUGUACUGAAUACAUAGGUGCAAGAGGCGAACCAGGGGAACUGAAACAUCUAAGUACCCUGAGGAAAAGAAAUCAACCGAGAUUCCCUUAGUAGUGGCGAGCGAACGGGGACCAGCCCUUAAGUUGUAUUGAGAUUAGCGGAACACUCUGGAAAGGGUGGCCAUAGUGGGUGAUAGCCCUGUACGCGAAAAUCCCUUUGCAAUGAAAUCGAGUAGGACGGGGCACGAGAAACCUUGUCUGAAUAUGGGGGGACCAUCCUCCAAGGCUAAAUACUACUGACUGACCGAUAGUGAACCAGUACCGUGAGGGAAAGGCGAAAAGAACCGCGGAGAGCGGAGUGAAAUAGAUCCUGAAACCGUAUGCGUACAAGCAGUGGGAGCCCACUUUGUUGGGUGACUGCGUACCUUUUGUAUAAUGGGUCAGCGACUUAUUUUCAGUGGCGAGCUUAACCGAAUAGGGGAGGCGUAGCGAAAGCGAGUCUUAAUAGGGCGUCUAGUCGCUGGGAAUAGACCCGAAACCGGGCGAUCUAUCCAUGGGCAGGUUGAAGGUUGGGUAACACUAACUGGAGGACCGAACCGACUACCGUUGAAAAGUUAGCGGAUGACCUGUGGAUCGGAGUGAAAGGCUAAUCAAGCUCGGAGAUAGCUGGUUCUCCUCGAAAGCUAUUUAGGUAGCGCCUCAUGUAUCACUGUAGGGGGUAGAGCACUGUUUCGGCUAGGGGGUCAUCCCGACUUACCAAACCGAUGCAAACUCCGAAUACCUACAAGUGCCGAGCAUGGGAGACACACGGCGGGUGCUAACGUCCGUCGUGAAAAGGGAAACAACCCAGACCGUCAGCUAAGGUCCCAAAGUCAUGGUUAAGUGGGAAACGAUGUGGGAAGGCUUAGACAGCUAGGAGGUUGGCUUAGAAGCAGCCACCCUUUAAAGAAAGCGUAAUAGCUCACUAGUCGAGUCGGCCUGCGCGGAAGAUGUAACGGGGCUCAAACCAUGCACCGAAGCUACGGGUAUCAUCUUUUGAUGAUGCGGUAGAGGAGCGUUCUGUAAGCCUGUGAAGGUGAGUUGAGAAGCUUGCUGGAGGUAUCAGAAGUGCGAAUGCUGACAUGAGUAACGACAAUGGGUGUGAAAAACACCCACGCCGAAAGACCAAGGUUUCCUGCGCAACGUUAAUCGACGCAGGGUUAGUCGGUCCCUAAGGCGAGGCUGAAAAGCGUAGUCGAUGGAAAACAGGUUAAUAUUCCUGUACUUCUGGUUAUUGCGAUGGAGGGACGGAGAAGGCUAGGCCAGCCUGGCGUUGGUUGUCCAGGUUUAAGGUGGUAGGCUGAGAUCUUAGGUAAAUCCGGGAUCUUAAGGCCGAGAGCUGAUGACGAGUGUUCUUUUAGAACACGAAGUGGUUGAUGCCAUGCUUCCAAGAAAAGCUUCUAAGCUUCAGGUAACCAGGAACCGUACCCCAAACCGACACAGGUGGUUGGGUAGAGAAUACCAAGGCGCUUGAGAGAACUCGGGUGAAGGAACUAGGCAAAAUGGCACCGUAACUUCGGGAGAAGGUGCGCCGGUGGAGGUGAAGCAUUUACUGCGUAAGCCCCUGCCGGUCGAAGAUACCAGGCCGCUGCGACUGUUUAUUAAAAACACAGCACUCUGCAAACACGAAAGUGGACGUAUAGGGUGUGACGCCUGCCCGGUGCCGGAAGGUUAAUUGAUGGGGUUAGCGCAAGCGAAGCUCUUGAUCGAAGCCCCGGUAAACGGCGGCCGUAACUAUAACGGUCCUAAGGUAGCGAAAUUCCUUGUCGGGUAAGUUCCGACCUGCACGAAUGGCGUAACGAUGGCGGCGCUGUCUCCACCCGAGACUCAGUGAAAUUGAAAUCGCUGUGAAGAUGCAGUGUAUCCGCGGCUAGACGGAAAGACCCCGUGAACCUUUACUAUAGCUUUGCACUGGACUUUGAAUUUGCUUGUGUAGGAUAGGUGGGAGGCUUUGAAGCGUGGACGCCAGUCUGCGUGGAGCCAACCUUGAAAUACCACCCUGGCAACUUUGAGGUUCUAACUCAGGUCCGUUAUCCGGAUCGAGGACAGUGUAUGGUGGGUAGUUUGACUGGGGCGGUCUCCUCCUAAAGAGUAACGGAGGAGUACGAAGGUGCGCUCAGACCGGUCGGAAAUCGGUCGUAGAGUAUAAAGGCAAAAGCGCGCUUGACUGCGAGACAGACACGUCGAGCAGGUACGAAAGUAGGUCUUAGUGAUCCGGUGGUUCUGUAUGGAAGGGCCAUCGCUCAACGGAUAAAAGGUACUCCGGGGAUAACAGGCUGAUACCGCCCAAGAGUUCAUAUCGACGGCGGUGUUUGGCACCUCGAUGUCGGCUCAUCACAUCCUGGGGCUGAAGCCGGUCCCAAGGGUAUGGCUGUUCGCCAUUUAAAGUGGUACGCGAGCUGGGUUUAGAACGUCGUGAGACAGUUCGGUCCCUAUCUGCCGUGGACGUUUGAGAUUUGAGAGGGGCUGCUCCUAGUACGAGAGGACCGGAGUGGACGAACCUCUGGUGUUCCGGUUGUCACGCCAGUGGCAUUGCCGGGUAGCUAUGUUCGGAAAAGAUAACCGCUGAAAGCAUCUAAGCGGGAAACUUGCCUCAAGAUGAGAUCUCACUGGAACCUUGAGUUCCCUGAAGGGCCGUCGAAGACUACGACGUUGAUAGGUUGGGUGUGUAAGCGCUGUGAGGCGUUGAGCUAACCAAUACUAAUUGCCCGUGAGGCUUGACCAUAUAACACCCAAGCAAUU
rnacentral:rRNA from 2 species